GACGAACGCUGGCGGCGUGCCUAAUACAUGCAAGUUGAGCGAUGAAGAUUGGUGCUUGCACCAAUUUGAAGAGCAGCGAACGGGUGAGUAACGCGUGGGGAAUCUGCCUUUGAGCGGGGGACAACAUUUGGAAACGAAUGCUAAUACCGCAUAACAACUUUAAACAUAAGUUUUAAGUUUGAAAGAUGCAAUUGCAUCACUCAAAGAUGAUCCCGCGUUGUAUUAGCUAGUUGGUGAGGUAAAGGCUCACCAAGGCGAUGAUACAUAGCCGACCUGAGAGGGUGAUCGGCCACAUUGGGAAUGAGACACGGCCCCAACUCCCACGGGAGGCAGCAGAAGGGAAUCUUCGGCGAUGGACGAAAGUCUGGCCCAGCAACGCCGCGUGAGUGAAGAAGGUUUUCGGAUCGUAAAACUCUGUUGGUAGAGAAGAACGUUGGUGAGAGUGGAAAGCUCAUCAAGUGACGGUAACUAACCAGAAAGGGACGGCUAACUACGUG
rnacentral:rRNA from 1 species